AGCAGCGUGGCUCAGUGGAAAGAGCACGGGCUUGGGAGUCAGAGGUCAUGGGUUCGAAUCCCACCUCUGCCA
rnacentral:tRNA from 1 species